ensembl:lncRNA
AUUGUAGGUCCAGCGAGGGAAGCCAGAGGAGCGGCCUCUCCUCGGGAUUAGCAGAGUCCCGGAUUGUCGUCCCGGGACGGACCGGGACACCGGACGCUUGGCGGGGAGGGGCCCGCCGCGGCCCACGUGGACACUGCCAGUGAGCGGUUAACACUAAUCCUGCUGCUGAUUACCGCUGGCAUCAGGGAAAUAAACAGCAAUACAUAAACCUACGAGGCGGAGCACACGUUUGGUUGUGGCUUGUGUCUCAGGUGAAAAAUCAAAUACCACUUCAAACCCCACAAAUUCAAACUCCAAAAUUUCAAACUCCGAAACUUCAAACUCCGAAACUUCAAAUGUAAAUGGCUCCACUACCGCCACUCAAACAUCCCUCAACGCCAUCACCACCACCGGAACCACCACCAAUGCCACCGAUGCCUCAAGCUACACACCGAGCAGCAGCGCCAUCUCGCCCUCGACAGCAACGCAGACCGGAUUCUCCAGUUCAAGUGGGGGAAGUGUCAAAACAACAAGCGCACCUAGAACCACGGACAAAAUGACAACAACUACCACCAAAGUACACAAAAAGGAGACAACCACCACUGCUAAGCCAGCUGAGACGGCGUCAGUGGACACCACCGGCAUUAUCAUCCUAGUUGUGAUCGGCGUCGUAAUCCUUGGAUUUGGAGUUUGCUGCUACUUACAGCGGAAUAGAAGAAGGCGGUACUCUGUGGACUUCACCUCCAGACCGGAUGAAGCCAACAUCCCUCUCAGCACCAUGGAGCCCGAGUUACAGGUCGAUGCCGCGCCUCAGAACGGACUGCAAACCUUUGAAAGGGAAGAAGCUAAGACAGAGAUGCGAGAACCAGAGGCCAAGCCUGAAGCAAAGGAGGAGCAGAAAGGUGAGGCUGAGGAAUCUCACGUUGGUCCCGGGGCUGAGUCUGCUGCCCCGGCGGCGACCCCAGAGAGCCCCGCGGACGAACCCAAAGCGGCCGCCGUUGAGCAGAGUCCCCCCGCGCCCGUGGAGCCAAGUGUGGACGAGAAAACCGACGAAGAAGGCGACGUCUCCAACAAGACCUCUGUGGAGUCGCUGAAAGAGACCAACGAGAACAACAGCAAUAAUGCCGACUUCAAUGCGACUGGAGAUGUGAUCAGCAUCAACUUCUGGGACGUUCCUCUCAAUAGUCCGCUGUGAGACAUUUCACCUAUCUGUGCUGUUCUUCAGGAACUUGAUUGAAGGAGUGACCACGACGGAGAAGGGCACGUCUGCUCGUACCGUGUGAGAUAUUUAGCGGGCUGUUUUCUCCUUGUUAGAAACAAAUUUACUGCAGCAGAGCAGCUUUUUCCCAGUUAAACGUUAGCUGAACUCUGAGUUUUAAGCAUUUUAGUGAUUUAACGGUGACUAUUUAGUUGGUCUAUAUACUAAAUGUGAUUACGUUUGGUACUGCAGAACAGUAAUACACGUUGAAUUUCAUCUCCCAAGCCAU